rnacentral:rRNA from 1 species
ACGUAGGGGGCGAGCGUUAUCCGGAAUUAUUGGGCGUAAAGGGCACGCAGGCGGUCCUGCACGUGGAUGGUGACAGCUCCUGGCUUAACCAGGAGAGUGCCUUCCAAACGACAGGACUUGAGAGCGAGAGAGGGAGACGGAACUCCAGGUGGAGCAGUGAAAUGCGUAGAGAUCUGGAAGAACACCGAAGGCGAAGGCAGUCUCCUGGCUCGUCUCUGACGCUCAGGUGCGAAAGCUAGGGGAGCAAACAGGA